rnacentral:rRNA from 1 species
UUGGAGGGCAAGUCUGGUGCCAGCAGCCGCGGUAAUUCCAGCUCCAAUAGCGUAUAUUAAAGUUGUUGCAGUUAAAAAGCUCGUAGUUGAAUUUCGAGAUCAAUUUGUCGGUCGUGCCUCGGUACGUACUGGCAUUAUUGAUUUCUCCCUUCUGAAGAACCGCGAUGUCAUUAAUUUGGUGUCGUGGGGAAUCAGGACUGUUACUUUGAAAAAAUUAGAGUGUUUAAAGCAGGCGCACGCUUGAAUACAUUAGCAUGGAAUAAUGAAACAGGACGUUUGAUUCUAUUUUGUUGGUUUCUAGGAUCGACGUAAUGAUUAAUAGGGAUAGUUGGGGGCAUUAGUAUUCAAUUGUCAGAGGUGAAAUUCUUGGAUUUAUUGAAGACUAACUACUGCGAAAGCAUUUGCCAAGGAUGUUUUCAUUAAUCAAGAACGAAAGUUAGGGGAUCGAAGACGAUCAGAUACCGUCGUAGUCUUAACCAUAAACUAUGCCGACUAGGGAUCGGAUGAUGUUAAUUUUUUAAUGACUCAUUCGGCGCCUUACGGGAAAC